UACAGAGGGUGCGAGCGUUGUUCGGAAUUAUUGGGCGUAAAGGGCGCGUAGGCGGUUUGUCGCGUCUGCUGUGAAAACUCGGGGCUUAACCCCGGGCCUGCAGUGGGUACGGGCAGACUAGAGUGCGGUAGGGGAGACUGGAAUUCCUGGUGUAGCGGUGAAAUGCGCAGAUAUCAGGAGGAACACCGGUGGCGAAGGCGGGUCUCUGGGCCGUAACUGACGCUGAGGAGCGAAAGCGUGGGGAGCGAACAGG
rnacentral:rRNA from 1 species